rnacentral:rRNA from 1 species
AUUAAUGGCCAUACCACCCUGAACACGCCCGAUCUCGUUUGAUCUUGGAAGCUAAGCAGGGUCGGGCCGGGAUAAUACUGGCGAGGCGCGGUGGCUCAUGCCUAUAAUC